rnacentral:rRNA from 1 species
UACAGGGGGGGCAAGCGUUGUUCGGAAUUACUGGGCGUAAAGGGCCAGUAGGCGGCCAACUAAGUCCGACGUGAAAUCCCCAAGCUUAACUUGGGAACUGCGUCGGAUACUGGAUGGCUUGAAUUCGGGAGAGGGAUGCAGAAUUCCAGGUGUAGCGGUGAAAUGCGUAGAUAUCUGGAGGAACACCGGUGGCGAAGGCGGCAUCCUGGACCGGUAUUGACGCUGAGGCGCGAAAGCUAGGGUAGCAAACGGG